AUUGAACGCUGGCGGCAUGCUUUACACAUGCAAGUCGAACGGUAACAGGCCUUCGGGUGCUGACGAGUGGCGAACGGGUGAGUAAUGCAUCGGAACGUACCCAGAGGUGGGGGAUAACGCAGCGAAAGCUGUGCUAAUACCGCAUGUGAUCUGAGGAUGAAAGCGGGGGACCGAGCAGCAAUGUUUGGCCUCGCGCCUUUGGAGCGGCCGAUGUCGGAUUAGCUAGUUGGUGGGGUAAAGGCCUACCAAGGCGACGAUCCGUAGCUGGUCUGGGAGGACGACCAGCCACACUGGGACUGAGACACGGCCCAGACUCCUACGGGAGGCAGCAGUGGGGAAUUUUGGACAAUGGGCGCAAGCCUGAUCCAGCAAUGCCGCGUGCGGGAAGAAGGCCUUCGGGUUGUAAACCGCUUUUGGCAGGAACGAAACGGUGUCCGCUAAUACCGGGCGCUAAUGACGGUACCUGCAGAAUAAGCACCGGCUAACUACGU
rnacentral:rRNA from 1 species